ACUUGGAUAGCUUAUAUAAGAGCGUGAUAUUGAAGAUAUCAAGGAAACCUAAGGUUUUCAAGUA
rnacentral:tRNA from 1 species